ensembl:misc_RNA Metazoa_SRP Metazoan signal recognition particle RNA
GCCGGGCGUGGUGGCGGACGCCUGUAGUCCCAGCUACUCUGGAGGCUGAGGCAGAAGAAUUGCUUGAACCUGGGAGGCGGAGGUUGCAGUGAGCCAAGAUUGCGGCACUGCACUCCAGCCUGGGUGACAGAGCAAGACUCCGUCUCAA